rnacentral:lncRNA from 1 species
AAUGCCAAUUGAUACAAUCUCAAAAAUACAAACAGGUACACAGCCAGGAAGCAGCAGUGGACCCAGCAAUAUCAAACGAGAUAUAGCAAGUCCCCGGAAGGUGACUAUAAAAAAUAAUGAUGAACAUACAAGAGUUAUAAGAAUCAAAACUGAUGAAGAUGAUGAUACCCCUUUAUCAUCAAAAGAAGAAGAAUAUAGAUCAUUUGCCAAGAUUGUUUAUGAAUUGGAAGAAAAUGAAUCUUAUUUUAUUGUAUCAGGAGAUCAUGUUUAUCCCAGAUUAAUAAUUACCAAAGA